rnacentral:rRNA from 1 species
AAUGAACGCUGGCGGCGUGCUUAACACAUGCAAGUCGCACGAGAACGCUUCAGCUUGCUGAAGUUAGUAAAGUGGCGCACGGGUGAGUAACGCGUGGGUAAUCUUCCCCCGAGUUGGGGAUAACAUUGCGAAAGCGAUGCUAAUACCGGAUAAUAUCUCAAGUACUCCGGUACUUGAGAUCAAAGGUGGCCUCUACAUGUAAGCUACCGUUUGGGGAUGAGCCCGCGUACCAUUAGCUUGUUGGUAGGGUAAUGGCCUACCAAGGCUGCGAUGGUUAGCUGGUCUGAGAGGAUGAUCAGCCACACUGGAACUGACACACGGUCCAG